GUGAAAGUGCUCUGAACUCCUGUCUGAUUUCCGAGAGAUACAGAAAAGAGAAAGUACCAGUUAUACUAUGUAUCUUCACUGGGUCAGUAAAGCUCAUUUUCUAAACUCCAAGAAAAUCAAAGAUGCGUGUCUCUCUCAGACCUCACCAGAGAAGUUUCUUUGUGCAGUGGACUGUGGUUAACACAAUCUCACAAGUGAUAAAAGAGCAGAGAAAAAAUAUUAGUGGAGUGCUCAGCCACAAAUAAGACAUGGAUGUAUUCACCUUCUCUCAAGACUCAGAGGCCAUCUUGGAAGUGUAACUGUGUCUUAUGGACAUGGCGAGACCCCUGUAUUCAUGAACUCAGCUGCUGUGGUUGCCUGUACAAGCCCUGAAACAAGAUUAAGCCUGUCAACAUUCCGGCACAGGGGUGAAAGCCCCUCAAAAGGCUCAUGAGUAGCUAUUGAUAUGUAGUGGCUUUGGAGGGAGGUAGAAUUUGUCUUCUUCACAGGAGAACUGGUAGGCUAAUUACACUCCAGCAUUGACAUGCAGCACAAAGAGGGCUCAGUAGGUUACUAAGAAAGAAGAGAAACCAGAAACUGAAAGACAGAGAGAAGAGAGAGAAAGAAAAAGAAA